rnacentral:pre_miRNA from 1 species
UCUUAUUGAUGCCCAAAGCAAGUGGUUUCUUGAGAUAGAAUCUACUCCUUGUGAAGAUGCUGAGAA